UGUAGCUUACUUUAUUGUAAGAAUACAGAAUAUAAUACACAUGACAUAUAAAAUAUGUGCUGAUCAAUUGUUUGUGUUAUUACUAAGGCUUCCAGUCAAUAGUAGGCUAUUAGUGGUUAAAUUUUUGCAAAGUCAAAAAUCUUACAUAAAUCUACUACUGUGUAGGGGGUCAGCACCACUAACUCCCAUGUUGUUCAAGGGUCAGCUAGACACACAUGCACACAUAUAUGCACACACAUAUCUGUAUAUAACUUUUAAUCUUAUGUCUUUUGUAUUCUGGGCUUGGUUUGCAAUUCUAAAGUGAACGGAGAGCCAACUAUUUGUCAUAGAAAAGGAAAAAGAUGCUACUAAAAUCAACUUCAACUGCUUUAGCACCAAAGAGAGUAGCAUUACUUAUUCUUAGACUGAUACCUUUUUAUUUAAAUAAAAUAUGUUGAUAGAGAACUGUUGGUGCAAUGUUUGAGUGCUCAAGAGACUGGGUUGGAGAGAAACAAAGAACCUAAGUGAUAGCUUAUGUCCUCUGCAGGAGAAAUGAAGAGGGGUAAGGAGGAGAAAAAGUGAGAAUGAGACUGGCUUUCUGGAAGUCUGAGGAGACACGCUAGCCAGUGAGGAUUUCCUGUUAGUGGUGGUGACAGAAAGAAAUGAAAAAGAGGAGGAAUGUCUAACAUUUAAUUUUAAAUUGUUUCUUCAUGGUGUUACUAUUUAAUUUCCUUCAUCUCUCUAGGCCUUUGGCGAAGAUGAAUUUCCUUCAUCUCUCUAGGGCUUUCAAUGGAAAGAGGCCAUGUUCCCUGUCCGAGUAGACAAGGGGCCAGUGAAAAGAGAACAGAUAGGAAAGGCAUUCUACUUCUUGGAAGCAAUAUCCUUGGUUUGAUUGUGCGUAACACCAUCCUUGAAUUCUCUUUGUUAGAAAGAGCUUCUGUAUCAGCUGAGAAGGCCUCCAUUUGAGCCAACACUAUUCCCGAUCAGCCUUGUCUGAUCCCAGAAUGGCUCUUCUGAGAACAGGAAGGUUUUCAAUUCUUCCUACCACACCAACCAGUCUCAGAGAGAAACCAAAUCAACGAUCUGUCAGACUCCUACCGCACAUUAGAAGAAAACAAAUGAAACAAAUGUUUUGAAGAUGUCUCCAGAGGUGCCCAGUAGAAGGGAGUGGGAAUGGAGAUGUAAGCGAGGAAAUGGUCUGUUUUGUGCCUUGAAAUAAACAGAGUACUCUGAGUUCUGGCCUCGA